GCCUCGGUAGCGCAGUAGGCAACGCGUCAGUCUCCCAUAAACUGCAGCGAGUAAUCAGAAGGUCGUGAGUUCGAUCCCCACCCGGGGCA